rnacentral:rRNA from 1 species
UACGAAGGGGGCUAGCGUUGUUCGGAAUUACUGGGCGUAAAGCGCACGUAGGCGGAUUGUUAAGUCAGAGGUGAAAUCCCGGAGCUCAACUUCGGAACUGCCUUUGAUACUGGCAAUCUAGAGUCCGGAAGAGGUUAGUGGAAUUCCCAGUGUAGAGGUGAAAUGCGUAGAUAUCAGGAGGAACACCGGUGGUGUAGACGGCUCACUGGACCGUAACUGACGCUG